UCUGUGUGGUGGUGCACACCUGUAAUCCCAGUGACUUGGGAGGCUGAGGCAGGAGGAUUGCAAGUUGGAGGCUAGACUCAGCAACUUAGUGAGGCUCUGAGCAACUCAGCAAGACCCUGUCUCUA
rnacentral:sRNA from 1 species